rnacentral:miRNA from 2 species
UUUAGAGACGGGGUCUUGCUCU